ACUUACGGCCAUACCAUCCUGAAUACGCCCGAUCUCGUCUGAUCUUGGAAGCUAAGCAGGGUCGGGCCUGGUUAGUACUUGGAUGGGAGACCUCCUGGGAAUACCAGGUGCUGUAACUG
ensembl:rRNA 5S_rRNA 5S ribosomal RNA